GCCACGAUAGUUUAUUUUCAAAACACUAGCCUGUGACGCUAGAAACGGAACCCUUCCCCGUAGC
rnacentral:tRNA from 1 species